rnacentral:rRNA from 1 species
UACGUAGGUCCCGAGCGUUGUCCGGAUUUAUUGGGCGUAAAGCGAGCGCAGGUGGGAAGCCAAGUCAGCUGUGAAAACUACGGGCUUAACUUGUAGACUGCAGUUGAAACUGGUUUUCUUGAGUGAAGUAGAGGUUGGCGGAAUUCCGAGUGUAGCGGUGAAAUGCGUAGAUAUUCGGAGGAACACCGGUGGCGAAGGCGGCCAACUGGGCUUUAACUGACGCUGAGGCUCGAAAGUAUGGGGAGCAAACAGG